AAAAAAAAAAACACUGAUGGUAGGUAGGUAAAGGUAAGUGGAUCUAGAUUCCCUUAAUUAGAAGGAAAAUCAAAAUAUCAAAACUCAAUUUAAAGCAUAGAAAACGAUAUAUAUCAGCUAUAUACUUACCACUUAAGUAUAUAGUAUUUAUUUAUGUACAACCGUUUUGCCGCUAUAAAAAGUAAAAGAAGAUGCAAGGAAACUUAUAGCUUUUCUCAUUCCAUAUUUUGCUUCUAAUAAUAACCAUUUUUUGCAAAACAAGUUUCUAGGAGAUUAUGGAUUAUCAGUAUAUUCUUGGAGGAAUUCUUCUCGCUUCUAGUUUACCAUUUGUGUUUGUUUUGUAUAGCUUUGGAGUAAAGAAGAAGGUAACAAAAAGUGGUUCAAGUUCUA
rnacentral:lncRNA from 1 species